AUUGAACGCUGGCGGCAGGCCUAACACAUGCAAGUCGAACGAGGGGCGGACGGGUGAGUAAUGUCUGGGAAACUGCCUGAUGGAGGGGGAUAACUACUGGAAACGGUAGCUAAUACCGCAUACCAUCGGAGGUGCCCAGAUGGGAUUAGCUAGUAGGUGGGGGAAAGGCUCACAUAGGCGACGAUCCCUAGCUGGUCUGAGGGGAUGACCAGCCACACUGGAACUGAGACACGGUCCCGCCUCCUACGGGAGGCCGCAGUGGGGAAUAUUGCACACUGGGCGCAAGCCUUGUGCAGCCAUGCCGCGUGUAUGAAGAAUGCCUUCGGGUUUUAAAGUCCUUUCAGCGGUGAGGCGUUACCCGCAGAAGAAGCACCGGCUAACUCCGUGCCAGCAGCCGCGGUAAUAC
rnacentral:rRNA from 1 species